rnacentral:rRNA from 1 species
AAAUUGAAGAGUUUGAUCAUGGCUCAGAUUGAACGCUGGCGGCAGGCCUAACACAUGCAAGUCGAACGGUAACAGGAAGCAGCUUGCUGCUUCGCUGACGAGUGGCGGACGGGUGAGUAAUGUCUGGGAAACUGCCUGAUGGAGGGGGAUAACUACUGGAAACGGUGGCUAAUACCGCAUAACGUCGCAAGACCAAAGAGGGGGACCUUCGGGCCUCUUGCCAUCAGAUGUGCCCAGAUGGGAUUAGCUUGUUGGUGAGGUAACGGCUCACCAAGGCGACGAUCCCUAGCUGGUCUGAGAGGAUGACCAGCCACACUGGAACUGAGACACGGUCCAGACUCCUACGGGAGGCAGCAGUGGGGAAUAUUGCACAAUGGGCGCAAGCCUGAUGCAGCCAUGCCGCGUGUAUGAAGAAGGCCUUCGGGUUGUAAAGUACUUUCAGCGGGGAGGAAGGUGUUGCGGUUAAUAACCGCAGCAAUUGACGUUACCCGCAGAAGAAGCACCGGCUAACUCCGUGCCAGCAGCCGCGGUAAUACGGAGGGUGCAAGCGUUAAUCGGAAUUACUGGGCGUAAAGCGCACGCAGGCGGUCUGUCAAGUCGGAUGUGAAAUCCCCGGGCUCAACCUGGGAACUGCAUUCGAAACUGGCAGGCUUGAGUCUUGUAGAGGGGGGUAGAAUUCCAGGUGUAGCGGUGAAAUGCGUAGAGAUCUGGAGGAAUACCGGUGGCGAAGGCGGCCCCCUGGACAAAGACUGACGCUCAGGUGCGAAAGCGUGGGGAGCAAACAGGAUUAGAUACCCUGGUAGUCCACGCCGUAAACGAUGUCUACUUGGAGGUUGUGCCCUUGAGGUGUGGCUUCCGGAGCUAACGCGUUAAGUAGACCGCCUGGGGAGUACGGCCGCAAGGUUAAAACUCAAAUGAAUUGACGGGGGCCCGCACAAGCGGUGGAGCAUGUGGUUUAAUUCGAUGCAACGCGAAGAACCUUACCUGGUCUUGACAUCCACAGAAGAAUCCAGAGAUGGAUUUGUGCCUUCGGGAACUGUGAGACAGGUGCUGCAUGGCUGUCGUCAGCUCGUGUUGUGAAAUGUUGGGUUAAGUCCCGCAACGAGCGCAACCCUUAUCCUUUGUUGCCAGCGGUCCGGCCGGGAACUCAAAGGAGACUGCCAGUGAUAAACUGGAGGAAGGUGGGGAUGACGUCAAGUCAUCAUGGCCCUUACGACCAGGGCUACACACGUGCUACAAUGGCGCAUACAAAGAGAAGCGACCUCGCGAGAGCAAGCGGAUCUCAUAAAGUGCGUCGUAGUCCGGAUUGGAGUCUGCAACUCGACUCCAUGAAGUCGGAAUCGCUAGUAAUCGUGGAUCAGAAUGCCACGGUGAAUACGUUCCCGGGCCUUGUACACACCGCCCGUCACACCAUGGGAGUGGGUUGCAAAAGAAGUAGGUAGCUUAACCUUCGGGAGGGCGCUUACCACUUUGUGAUUCAUGACUGGGGUGAAGUCGUAACAAGGUAACCGUAGGGGAACCUGCGGUUGGAUCACCUCCUUACCUUAAAGAAGC